rnacentral:rRNA from 1 species
AUUGAACGCUGGCGGCAGGCCUAACACAUGCAAGUCGAACGAGUGGCGUACGUGUGAGUAAUGUCUGUGAAUCUGCCCGAUGGAGGGGGUUAACUACUGGAAACGGUAGCUAAUACCGCAUUCCAUCGCAUGUGCCCAGUUGGGAUUAGCUUGUAGUGGGGGUAACGGCUCACCUAGGCGACGAUCCCUAGCUGGUCUGAGAGGAUGACCAGCCACACUGGAACUGAGACACGGUCCAGACGCCUACGGGAGGCAGCGGUGGGGAAUAUUGCACAAUGGGCGAAAGCCUGAUACAGCCAUGCCGCGUGUGUGAAGAAGGCCUUCGGGUUGUAAAGUACUUUAAGCGGGGAGGCGUUACUCGCAGAAGAAGCACCGGCUAACUCCGUGCCAGCAGCCGCGGUAAUAC